rnacentral:lncRNA from 1 species
UGAUCUGACUUUGGCUCUCUAAGUUGAAGUUUAUGCUUCAUACCUGAGAGUAAAUCGGAUCAUAGCUUGCGGGGAACUUUUUUUAUGGUCAACACGAAGUGCUGCUUUGUGAUGACUGAUGAUAUAUGCUACACAUAGGAUGGACUCGUGCCUUAGCGACUUUAAAACUUGAAAGAUAAUAGUUGUACUUAUUUGAUUGUAUUAAACAAUAAGUUCAUUUAUUCAAUAAAACAAAAUUAUU